AUCCAGAGAACUUAGCAGAGAUGCUUUGGUGCCUUCGGGAACUCUGAGACAGGUGCUGCAUGGCUGUCGUCAGCUCGUGUUGUGAAAUGUUGGGUUAAGUCCCGCAACGAGCGCAACCCUUAUCCUUUGUUGCCAGCGGUUCGGCCGGGAACUCAAAGGAGACUGCCGGUGAUAAACCGGAGGAAGGUGGGGAUGACGUCAAGUCAUCAUGGCCCUUACGGCCAGGGCUACACACGUGCUACAAUGGCGCAUACAAAGAGAAGCGACCUCGCGAGAGCAAGCGGACCUCAUAAAGUGCGUCGUAGUCCGGAUUGGAGUCUGCAACUCGACUCCAUGAAGUCGGAAUCGCUAGUAAUCGUAGAUCAGAAUGCUACGGUGAAUGCGUUCCCGGGCCUUGUACACACCACCCGUCACACCAUGGGAGUGGGUUGCAAAAGAAGUAGGUAGCUUAACCUUCGGGAGGGCGCUUACCACUUUGUGAUUCAUGACUGGGGUGAAGUCGUAACAAGGUAGGCGUAGCGAG
rnacentral:rRNA from 1 species